GGGAUGGUGCUGAAGUGGACGCCGUGUGAACUUCACCAGCAAUGGCUCCAAUCUGACAUUAACGCAGUCCUAUCUAAAAUGGCAGUUGGAGAUAUACCUGAGAGAAAGAUGGAGGUGGAAGACAUGAAGGAAGAGACACUCUGGAAAGAUGGAGGGGGAGGACAGGGCUUCUAUUAAGGAGAAGGAGACCGCUGGAAAUAUGGGGCAGGAGGACAGCGCCUCUGUCCAGGAGGCCUGUAGAAAGAUGGACAACGAGGACAGGGCCUCUGAGCUCAAAGACUAUUUCACUGCUCUUGAGGAGAACCGCAGAAACAUGCAGAAUCUCCUGCAAGAGCAGAAAGAAGAGUAUGAGAUGGAGUUGAGGGCUCUGGAGAGGGAGAGUGUGCAGGAGAGAGAGAUGCGGAAUAGAAAUGAGGCCCUGAAGAGGGAGAGAGAGAUGCGGAAUAGAAAGGAGGCUCUGGAGAGGGAGAGAGAUGCGGGAAAGAGAGGAAGCCCUGCUGUCCACUUUUAUUUCCGUUGUUGUCUGCAAGGACAAGCUCAUGAAAGACCUGAGGAUCCAGAUGGACAGACCGAGUCCAUCUAAGGUGUGCGAGGCACAAUGGGGCCAUUUUCAAACACAUGGGGCCACUGGCACUGCAGUGGUCACACUCCAGGAUAAUUCUAUACCUCAACAAGUUGCGGAGAGUGACCUGCAGGGGAACAAUACUGAACUGAAGAAAAAGGAGAAAAGGGCAUACCGUUUGCAGCGUCAUUUUCUUGCAUUCUACUUCGGAAAGCGGCACGAUUAUUUUUAUUUCUGGCUUGAUUUUUUUUUUUUACACGUUUUCACUCUUACAUUUGAUCUUACAACUAGCUUCUCAUCCAAAUGGCCUCUGUUAGAGUGGAGGAGAUCUGUCGAAAGAUGGAAAAGGAGGACGGGCCCACUGAGCUGAAGGAGCUUUUAGAUUAUUUCACUGCUCUUGAGGAGGACCGCAGGAACCUGCAGAAUCUCCUGCAAGAGAAAAAUGAAGAAAAUGAAAUGAAGUUGAGGGCUAAGGAGAGGGAGAUGGUGCAUGAGAGGGUAGAGUUGGAGAGUGAGAUGCGGGACAGAGGAGGCCCUGCUGUGCACUUUUAUUUCCGUUGUUGUCUGAAAGGACAAGGUCAUGAAAGACCUGAGGAUCCAGAUGGACAGACCGAGUCCAUCUAGGGUGUACGAGGCACAAUGGGGCCACUGGCACUGCAGUGGUCACACUCCAGGAUGCUUAUUAAAGCGCUAUACCUCAACAAAUUACGGAGAGUGACCUGCAGGGGAACAAAAGGCUGGAGGACCGGGGCAAAGCUGAACUGAAGAAAAAGGAGAAAGCCCUUCAACAGGCAGAGAAGAAAAGAAUGCGAAUAUUCUUCUGUAAAAGAAGCAAUUGAAUAAUGA
ensembl:lncRNA